AUUAUUAACAAAUAAAAAAAAAAGAAAAGAAAAAGCUAUCAUUUUUCUCUUCCCCUUCACCGAAAUAUGCAGCAAAGAAAGGGUUUUGAAGCUGGAAAAUUUCAGCAACAUAUUUCCCUUGCUUAUGAUGAAAAUUGAGAUUUGGACCUAGAACGGAAAGAAAUCGAUUUAUAGACGAGUAUGUCUUUUCACCUUUGUGGUAUCGAGAGUUUCCAUGUUAGCUCGGGUUGGAGGCCGUCAGAGAUAUUAUCACCCUAUCGAGUUAACAUUAUCGGAGUAAGUAAACUCAAGUGAUUCGAGUCUAUGGCAUGUAUAGGGUUUUAAUGUGAGUAUGUAAUAUUAUGAUUUAGCCAAAGGCAUUAGCUUGUUAUUAAGGUAGUAUUAGUUAUGUAAAUUGGCCUAUGUCGGCUAAUAUCGUUAUGGGCCCAUAUGAUUAUUCUUAUGCAUUUAUGUUAUUAUUUCUUGUGAUGUGGCUUACAACAUGUAUGCCUAGAGAUUGAAUUGAGAUUCAUUGAUGACCUAGUAACUAAUGCAGGAUUAAGUGAUUGGUAAAUAGUUAAUAAUGCUUCAUAA